AUGGCCCCAAGAAAUGCGCGUAAUAAUUUCUACAUUUUGGGCUCCGGUAGCGGGAAUGGCAACGCUGGGACCAAAGGCAUGUCGGAAUGGAUAGGCUUGUCCUUGUGCCGAAAAUGUGUUGACUUGGACGGAGUGUGGACCAAGUGUCUGAUAUCUGUUGGAAUUACAUUGCUCCUGGUGCCGUCCAUAUUUGCCAUAGACGAUGAAGCAAGACUCGAGGCAUCAGGACAACCCCUCAGUCCUUCCCAGGAUCCAACCGGCGGCCCAAACAUCACAGUCUCUUCGUCACUGCUGGAGGACGAAGACUUCGCCUCGCAGUACCACUCUCCAUCAGCGAGGGCAGAAAGCACAAGGGAGCAGCCUGUGUUUGCCUCGGUGCAGACCCUGCAGGUUGCAGAGACACAGCCUCAGGCGCUGGUGUAUUCUCUGCCCUCCCCACCCGGCAACAGUGACAAUCGCACCAAUCAAAAGUCCCCUGGGGAGCAGGCCGUCAAAGUGCCAAAUCCACCGUCCCCGGCACAUAAACUCAACAGUGUCUUGACCACUAGCUCAGACGAGACUCUUAGUGAAUUCCCCAGAAACCCUGAUCUUCCCACCGCCCCGGGAUCCUCUUUCAUGAUUGUGGCAGAGACAGAUGCUACACUCUCUGACAAUGUGACAACUUCAGUCUCCUUUUCCGCUUUUAACGGCACUUCUCCUGAAAGAGCUGAAAACGCUUCAUCCGGCGCUUCAGCAAGCAGCAACUCCCACACUGUGACCAGCGACAAUCUCCAGCUCACCACAGUGACCACCACGACUGUCACGCCCUUAACUGUGACAUCAAUGACUGUGACUCCACCCACUGCCAUUGUUGUGGCAAAAGAGGUCGCGACCACCAUACCAACCACCACAGCCACCCAGACCACAACAACCGAGACAGAACCACCAACGACAACCACCACUACCACUACAACAACUACCACCACCACAAAAGUAGCACCAACAACCACAAAAACACCCACAACCACUUUAGCAACGACAACCCCUCUUCAAACCACUGUUGUAUCUACCUCUGGAAGUACCACGACUGAACAGAGCACCCCUCCUACUGACAGUUCACCUUUGACCUGUAACGUGACCGAAAGAUUAUGGGUGAAAACAGGUGAGCCUUUGUUUACUGUAUGAGUGCCUCUGCCUUGUUUUUAGUGAUAAUUCACUAAAGAAAUCAGACAAAUUUAGUAAUGGCACAAAUACGCCACAAAUCAGUGUAAA
ensembl:lncRNA